rnacentral:lncRNA from 1 species
CCAAAAUUUGCUCAUUUAUUUUCUUUACAUUAAGAUCUCUGGUUCUUACCAGUGGGUCAUUUCAAACUCUAUCUCUGCUUCCCCCAGCUAGGGAUAGAAAGCCACUAUUACAGACAGGGGCUGCAUCCUUCAGGUGCUUUCUGCAGAAAUGAGCUCAAUAACCACUGAAGACAGAUGUUAAUGAUGUCUGUUUUAAGGCAAAUUAUUUGGAGACGAGGGUAACCAAGUGGAGCUGAAUGACACUGGAUGGUAAUAACUUAAUUUGCCUCAGUGACAGUUCAUCAGGUCCUUUCACUUCCAUUUUCUCAUCUGACCAUCAUGACCUUAUGGUGUAAGUAAAAAUGAUUACUUCCCUUUUUUCUUUUCUUCAGAGGGGAAAUCUGGGUUUGGAGCAGCUAUACCAUAUAUCUAAGGUCAAACACCUAAGAGGAACUUUUAACUUGGGUCAUUUAAGUGCAAGUGCCUUGUUUUCGCCAUUUUGCCAAGGACAUGGGGCUCAAGUUUGGGUGUGCACCUGGCUUGCAGCAGAACUGGCUGGGAUGGCUUCAUAACUUCCCUUCUAACAAUAUAACAAUAUGCUUCUGUAAAUUUUCACACUGAAUUGGACAAGAAUCAGAAUAUCCUGUUUUGAACAUCUGCACAGAUUGACAAACAAAAAUGGAACAUCAAGACUGACUGGAAAUGGUGAUGUGAAAUUCAUUAAAUGCUCUUGCAAUUGCCAGAGGUGCCAAGACUGAGGCUCAGAGAAAUGAAAUAACAUGCCAAAGGUCACAGUGUCUAGUGGAGCUGGGGCCAAAUUCAGAUUAAUAACACACAGGAAAAACCCUCAACUUCUUUCAUUCGCCUGUUGAGAUAAAGGGAAAGAGAGUCCCCAUCCAGGCCUGCAGGAGAGGGAGAACUGGUGGAUGCAAAUGAAAAAGCAGAGGCAUUCCUCAGCUCUUUUAUCCCAGAGAUUAUAGUGCUGGAGUUGGAAGAAGAUGGGAGAAACAUAUGAGGAGAGAAGGAAGUCGAGCUCAUACCAUGAUGAAGAAGAUAACUCCUGAAGAUUGGGAAGGGCACUGGCUGGCUCUCAAAGAUGGACAAAUGGCUUUACGACGCUUAAGGGGAUGCUCUGUGGAGUCUGCUUGGGUGCAAAUCACCACCAUGACACACUACCCAAUGAGCAAACAAAAGCAAACUGGUUAAGGAUCCUGACAAAGACUUCGCAGCCAGAAGAGGCGAUGCCGUGGGUCAAAUCUAGGACCACCAGAUUUCAAACCUUAUACUUCUAAUCACUAUAUGACACUGAACAUGAUUUUAAGAAACUUUCUUACAAAAAUGUAUGAAUUGGACAAGAGAGUAACAAAAACAGAGUAAUUCACUGAUCUCUCAUUUUGUAGAUGUAAGUUUUGUAUAAUGAGUUUCCAUACAUCAGGAGACACUUGGAAACAUAAAUAAGUCAAAGUUACAGACAAUAAAGUUACAGAGAAUUGUAUUAUUGUCCUCUGA